UACGUAGGGGGCGAGCGUUGUCCGGAAUUAUUGGGCGUAAAGAGCGUGUAGGCGGCCAGAUAAGUCCGCUGUGAAAUCUCGAGGCUCAACUUCGAGCUGUCGGUGGAAACUAUCUGGCUAGAGUCCGGAAGAGGAGAAUGGAAUUCCUGGUGUAGCGGUGAAAUGCGCAGAUAUCAGGAAGAACACCCGUGGCAAAGGCGGUUCUCUGGGACGGUACUGACGCUGAGACGCGAAAGCGUGGGGAGCGAACAGG
rnacentral:rRNA from 1 species